UUCAACUUAAAUUACAUAAAGAGGAUAUCACUGAAUUCAACAACAACGGACAGCAUGAUCUCUAUGACAAUUUUAGAUAUAUCAUCUCCAGAAAAAUCAAUGAUGUGAUGUGACCCCUUAAAGCUUUCCCCUUGUUUAUUGUUGUAGAAUGUUGCAGGAGCUUAACUACACACUAUUAUGAGCCGAAGUGUUGAGAUGGUGUCCAAAACUAGAGGGUACAGUUAUUACAGUUCUAUCACAUAUAAAGAGUGUUCGCUUUGAGUGACAUGUUCGACUAGAAACCAAGUUCGAAGUCCACCCAAUUUACCAUGUUCCGAUGUACUCCAUAGCAUCCCCUCCCUUAUUCCAGUUUUUCGCCUUUUUCCAACUCAAAAUAUGCUUUUGCUAAGUUGUUGCAAUCAUCAUAAACCUCAAACCUCUUUGAUAGCAACCACAUCCCCAGACACAAAACCCCACCUUUUUCUUGUUAAAGAAGUAUGGAAGCCCUAAAUCUCUAAGAAAAACAUCAUUUUCACAAUCCUGGAAGCUAUCAGAAAGCCAAAUACUCAAAAUUUCCAAACAGAGAGCACAGAUUAGCUGCUUA
rnacentral:lncRNA from 1 species